CAGAGUUACAUACUCCUAAACCCCUGUUUAUUUACCUAUACGUUGCUUCGGCAGGCGGCCCCAGGGAGGGGCCGUUGGGUGCCUGCCGAAGGUAUAAACCAAACUCUUGUUUUAUAAACCUAAAGCUUCUGAGUUAUACUUUUAAAUAAGUCA
rnacentral:misc_RNA from 1 species